rnacentral:tRNA from 1 species
CUGUCCGUAGCUCAAUCGGAUAGAGCGUCAGACUCCGACUCUGAAGGCUGUGGGUUCAAUUCCCGUCGGGCAGACCA